GACAGGGAUGACCAAUCUCUUUUUCCAGUCAUGGGGAAUGGUACCUGAAUGCCAUAGAGCAGUCAAGACAGCAUGCAACCCAAGCAUCAUGGCCUCACCCCCUGCUUUGAGCAGCUCCACACUGAUGUUACAAAUGCCAGCUGCCUUUCCACCCCUCAACUUUGCCACAGCCUCUUUGACAUCAUCAAUGGAGGGUGCAUUUUCAUCAAUGGGUGGAUUAGCAUCCAGCAUCUGUAACCCUGCAGUUUGGAGCUAUACACUUGGAGGAUCCACCGUGAACAGCUGCUUAAAGUACUUAGCCCAACAAGCCAUCUGCCCAUCUGCGUCUGAUAUGAGGUGGCCAUCUGCUGUUUAGAUUGCGCUUGUUUGAGAUGUAGACUUUGAGCAGAGUUUCUUCAGGGCUUGAUAUGCAGGUUGGAGGUCAUUAGCAUUUAAAUGACACUCUACAUCUUCAAUGAGACCCCUGACAUACCUCUCCUUGUCUCUCCUCAGGAGAGCUUUAGUCCUACAUGACAGAGCCCUGUACUGGUCGUGGUUCCUAGGAAGUCUAGCAGCAUGACUCUCCUCAAUACUGUCCAGCAUCUCUACCGAGGUGAAGCCACUCUGUCACCGUGGGCGCUCCCCAUUGCAUUCCUUGGCAGCCUCAAGAGUCUCACAUUUGAAGAGCCAACAAGGACAAGAAUGGAGCCAGAAAGUAUGGAGGUGGAUUCAACAAAAGACAACAGGCUUGAGCCAGAAGAAAAACAGGACAGUGCUGUAGAAAAGGAGACAACUGAGGAAGACCAUUCAACUGCUGCAGAAAGUGAUGAACAGUGUGAUAUGUCUUCUGCAGGUGUUGGUGUGGUGAUCAUGGAUGGAGACUUGACCCCAUCAGAGAUUAUUGAUAUUGAUAAAAGUGUUUCAGAGCAGCAGUGCAGUGAAGGCAAUGACAUCCAGGAUCAGGAAGGCAACAAUGACGAGCAAGCAAAUCCUCUUAGUACUGCAGAUGAACAAGAGAACACAGACAAGCCAGAAUUGGAGGCUGAUGCAGUGGAGAUGUCCAGUGCUGAAGAGUCAAAUAGUGAAGGCAAUUGCUUGGUGUCAAAAGUCACAGAAAAUGACACCUCAUUGGAUAAACAGUCUGUGGUCUCAAGUUCAGGUGAGAGAUCUGAAGUGACUGAAACACAGGAGGGGGAGACAUGUUCAGGGGAUGCUGAUGGCAAUGCUGGUGCUGGUGCUGAUGCUGAUGCUACACAGAAAGCAAGUGUGGAGAGUAUUGUUGUGGGUAAAGAGGAUGACAAUGAAGACAUAGUUGAGCUCCCAGUUCAUAGAAAGCCAGCUGUACUUGUUGACUUGUCAGAUGAUGAUGAAAAUGUUGAUAAGAAUCAGAAAAAAAAGCAAAACAAAGAAUGUAAUGAUGACUUAAGUGUUAUGGAAGACAAGGCAGCUAGCAAUGAAAGCAAGAAAAUCAAACUUCGCUCUUUGGCUUCACUUGUGGAUGUUGCUGGAGGGGACGACGUGCCACACCCGGACAUUCCAGGCAUUGGAGAGAUAGUGGAGCACGGUGUGAUCAUUGGCUCAGAAGAGAUGGAUGGCCUUCAGUUGAGAAUCUCCAAUGUGGUGGGUGGUGAGGACUGCAUCACAGGUCUCACUGUAGACGAGGACCGUGACGCCUUCUCCAGCAUUCAGAUCUCCUCUGUGACGACACUCAUUGACCCCAUAAGCCCUGAGGACCCUAACCAGAUAGACAACAGUGAUGAGAACCACAUGGUGGAUGAAGAGAAUGAAAAGGAAAUUGAAGAGAAUCUGCCAUGUCGUCUUGUGAGCAGCACCUCAACUGCUGAGCCUCAGAGCAGCAGUGCAGGAACAGCGGCCAGUGACAGUGUGGACCUGACAAAGGAUGAUGGAAAGAAGUCUGCAGAAAAAAAUGACGAUUCCUCUGAGACAGAAAAGUCUUCAAAUAGAAAAGAUUUGACUGACUCAGGAUCAGCAGGUCCCAAAAUCCGACUAAGCACAGCUGCGACGGAAGUUGGAAAGGAUGCAGGGAGCAAGGAUGAGAGCAGCCCACCCCGCCACGUGUACCACAUCCUGCGCAGCAUUCUCACUGUAAAGAGAGAAUGCGUCCUAUGUUCCAGGAAUGUCCAGUGUCAAUUCAGAAUUGUUAAGAAGGAUGAAAAUGGAACAUGGGCCUUCCUGUGUUCAACAUCAUGCCGUGCCAAGUGGACCUCUGGACUGAUGCCCAAUCAUGUAGUGGAAAAACCUCGUCUGAUAUUUGAGAAGUUGUGUGGGAUGUGUGGGAAGGAUCUAGCCAGUUUAGCUCGUGAUGGACAAUACUCCUGGGAAACAAGGGAAUUUUGCUCAAAGGACUGUUUAACUCAGCAUCUGAAUGAAGUGGCAGGCGUGUGUCACAUGUGUCAUGAAAAGGUGCGCCUGAUACUCAUUGGGAAAUACUGUGUCCGAUUUGGGUCUGACAUACACCAGUUUUGCUCCAAUCAUUGUCUUGAAUGCUACAAAACCAAGAUAAAAGUUUGCUGUUACUGUCAAAAGAAUCUUGAAACUGUCGCAAAAGUUACAUCUAUUUCAAAUAAAGAAUACUGCAGCUCAAAAUGUUUAAAGCGGGCACAGCGAAGGGACAUUGGCCAACAGAACCACACUGACCAGUAUCCUUGUACAGUGUGCCAGAUCAUCAGCCUCAAUCGAUAUGAGUUUGUCACCAAUCAGGAAUCUUACCAGCUGUGUUCAGAUCCUUGCCUCAAUGUCUACAAAUAUGCAAAUAAAGUCAAAGCAGUUCCCUGUUGCUUAUGCUUCCGCGUGAUGAAUGCAGAGGACGUGGCACACUACCUGUACCACGGAGGCCAUCAGCUACGGGUGUUCUGUUCAGAUUCCUGUGUGAAUGUAUUCAUCUUGUCUGCUCGAAAAAUUGUUGUCUGUGAGGCAUGUAAGGUUAAGAAAUACAACUUUGACAUGAUUCAUCGACAAGUUGAUGAAGACUUCAGAGACUACUUCUUCUGUUCAUUAAACUGUCUCGACUGUAAAGAACCAAUUGUCAAUGGGAAGAAAAGCAAGAAUGGAGGGACUGCAGCAGCAUCACCAAAAAGUGGGUCUGUCACAUCAAAUGUUGUCUCUGAUCAACCUGUCACCAAUUGCAACAUGUGCAAUGCUAUGGCCAAGGCUCAGUACCACAUGGUCAUGUCUGACAACACACUCAGAAGUUUUUGUCGCUAUGCCUGUGCUUCCAAAUACAAAAAUACUUUUGGAUUCCAAGUGAAUGGAAUUCAGAGUUCAGACUCUUCUGAGAACAGCAAUUCAGUUCCAGUUUUGCGAGAGAAAGUCCUUCAAAAAACUCCUUCAAGUCAACCAGAAGAACCAGAAAACACUUCUCAAACCAAGAAAAAAAUUGUCUGUGAUGCAGCAGAGGACGUCAGUUCUGUGACGGCAGAGCUAUUGAGGCUUCUCACACCACCUACCAUGGUGAACAAGACAACCUCCUGUCGACCACACACCACCACCAAAGGAGUCUACUGCAAACCUCACCCGUGGCACAGGCAAACACAAACAGAGUCUUCAGAUACCGAUUCUAAGGCACCAGCUGUGCUACCUGUGCCAGUGCCCAUCUAUGUCCCCACACCCAUGAUGACGUAUAGCAUGCCGUAUCCAGUGCCAGUGUUUGUUCCUAUACCACUCCCAGUUCCUAUCUUUAUUCCAACCACUGCCAGAACCACCACUGAUAUUGCAAAAAUGAUGAAUAAAAUUCAAGAUGAAAUGCCAGAAGACCCAUAUGAAGCGGAAAUGGUGAUGUUGGCUCGUGCAUCCAGUGAGAGUAUAGAGGCAGAGACGCCAGCGGAGAAAACACAGAAAAAUCCUUCACCACCCACUGCUUGUGAAAACCCAGCUGUCAUUGAUGAACUCAAAGAUGUAGAUGUGUCUUGCCUUGACACUGUGGAGGAUGACAUUCCAAGAUUAUCACUAAAACCUUCAGAUGCUACAAACAUUGUGAACUCCAUGACAGAAGCUGAGAAUGUUGAUUCAGAAGAAGAAGGUGAAGAGCAGAAUCGCAAAAAACGAAAAUUGCAGCAUGAAGAUGGUAAUCCCAAGAAGAAAAUGUUACUAAGUGGGAGCCAUGAGCCUGCGUCUGUCAGUGAUCCUGAGAGGGAACCCCAGUCAACCUCAAGUCUGAGUGCUGUUCACCUAGAAGAGGAGUACCCAGACACCUUUCUCAAUAUUUAACCCGUCCAUGGUCGUUGACAAGAUAUCUCACGUAAUACAGUACAUUGGUUACAUUAAGUUGUGAUAAGAUAACUCAUCGUUUGGCACAUUUCAUUAUUGAUCAUUAUUAUUAUUAUUAUUAUUAUUAUUAUUAUUAUUAUUAUUAUUAUUAUUAUUUAUUUAUUUCAUUUUUUUAUGUAUGAGGGGAACUGGCCAAGGGCAACAAAAAUUGUGAUUGAAAAAAAACAAGGCUCACUGAACAGGGUGAAAUGAAUGGGAUAAAUGUGUAGAAACCAUCCUCUUAAAUGAGUUUAUGUCAUAGGAAGGUGGAAAACAAAAGGAUGCAAAGACUUCCAGACUUUGCCAAAGAAAGUGAUGAGUGAUUGAGAACAUGUAAUGGUUAACUCUUGCAUUGGAGAGAUGGACAGAGUAGGGCUGAGAGAAAAAAGAGAGUCUAGUCUGGGGAGACUGUGGGAGGAGGGGAGACAUGCAGUUAGCAAGAUCAGAAGAGCAACAUUACGGCAUUCAGAAAGAGACUGAAGACAUUCAGACGGAGGAGAGGAACUCCUUGUCUGAAAAAAGCUUUUGAUUCCAUCCUAUCUAAUGUGACAGUAGUAUAAGUGGAACUCAUCCAUAUAUGUAAAGCAUAUUUCUUACAUGGAUGGAUAAGGCUCCUGUAUAGAUUGGGCAUGAGAAAAACUGGCAGAGGUGACUUAGGGACAUUUUUUGGUCCCCUUCACAGAAAGGGACCCUGAGGCUGGUGUAGGAGUCACCAUAUCUUAUUUUGAAUUUUGAGUGAAGGGUGUGUGUGUGUGUGUGUGUGUGUGUGUGUGUGUGUGUGUGUGUGUGUGUGUGUGUGUGUGUGUGUGU
rnacentral:misc_RNA from 1 species